rnacentral:rRNA from 1 species
ACUCCUACGGGAGGCAGCAGUGGGGAAUCUUGCGCAAUGGGCGGAAGCCUGACGCAGCAACGCCGCGUGAGGGAUGACGGCCUUCGGGUUGUAAACCUCUUUCGCGAUCGACGAAGGUCAUGCUUCUGGCAUGGCUGACGGUAGGUCGAGAAGAAGCACCGGCCAACUACGUGCCAGCAGCCGCGGUAAUACGUAGGGUGCGAGCGUUGUCCGGAAUUAUUGGGCGUAAAGAGCUCGUAGGCGGUGUGUCGCGUCGGCCGUGAAAACCUGGGGCUUAACUCUGGGCGUGCGGUCGAUACGGGCAUCACUAGAGUUCGGCAGGGGAGACUGGAAUUCCUGGUGUAGCGGUGAAAUGCGCAGAUAUCAGGAGGAACACCGGUGGCGAAGGCGGGUCUCUGGGCCGAUACUGACGCUGAGGAGCGAAAGCAUGGGUAGCGAACAGGAUUAGAUACCCUGGUAGCUACGAG